rnacentral:rRNA from 1 species
GACAGAGGGUGCAAACGUUGUUCGGAAUUACUGGGCGUAAAGCGCGUGUAGGCGGUUCCGUAAGUCCGCUCUGAAAGCCCAGGGCUCAACCCUGGGAGGCGGGUGGAUACUACGGAACUGGAGUACGGAAGAGGAGAUUGGAAUUCCUGGUGUAGCGGUGAAAUGCGCAGAUAUCAGGAGGAACACCAACAGCGAAGGCAGAUCUCUGGGACGUUACUGACACUGAGGCGCGAAAGCGUGGGGAGCGAACAGG